rnacentral:rRNA from 1 species
GAAAGAUGGUUUCGGCUAUCGCUUACAGAUGGGCCCGCGGUGCAUUAGCUAGUUGGUAGGGUAAUGGCCUACCAAGGCAACGAUGCAUAGCCGACCUGAGAGGGUGAUCGGCCACACUGGGACUGAGACACGGCCCAGACUCCUACGGGAGGCAGCAGUAGGGAAUCUUCCGCAAUGGACGAAAGUCUGACGGAGCAACGCCGCGUGUAUGAAGAAGGUUUUCGGAUCGUAAAGUACUGUUGUUAGAGAAGAACAAGGAUAAGAGUAACUGCUUGUCCCUUGACGGUAUCUAACCAGAAAGCCACGGCUAACUACGUGCCAGCAGCCGCGGUAAUACGUAGGUGGCAAGCGUUGUCCGGAUUUAUUGGGCGUAAAGCGCGCGCAGGCGGUCUUUUAAGUCUGAUGUGAAAGCCCCCGGCUUAACCGGGGAGGGUCAUUGGAAACUGGAAGACUGGAGUGCAGAAGAGGAGAGUGGAAUUCCACGUGUAGCGGUGAAAUGCGUAGAUAUGUGGAGGAACACCAGUGGCGAAGGCGACUCUCUGGUCUGUA